rnacentral:rRNA from 1 species
AGAGUUUGAUUCUGGCUCAGAACGAACGCUGGCAGCGUGGAUUAGGCAUGCAAGUCGAACGGGAUCCCCGUGUGUAGCAAUACAUAUGGGGUGAGAGUGGCGUAAGGGUGAGGAACACGUGGGUAACCUACCUCUAAGAUGGGGAUAACUCCGCGAAAGUGGAGAUAAUACCGAAUGUGGUCGGCUGCGGGCAUCCGCGGCCGACUGAAGAUGGGGAUCCUUCGGGACCUGUCACUUGGAGAGGGGCCCGCGUCCCAUCAGCUAGUUGGUGAGGUAACGGCUCACCAAGGCUUACGGGUAGCUGGUCUGAGAGGAUGGUCAGCCACACUGGGACUGAGACACUGCCCAGACUCCUACGGGAGGCUGCAGUCGAGGAUCAUUCGCAAUGGGCGCAAGCCUGACGAUGCGACGCUGCGUGGAGGAUGAAGGCCUUCGGGUUGUAAACUCCUGUCGUCCGGGAAAAAUGUUCUCGGCGUGAAUAGCGCCGGGAAGUGAUGGUACCGGAGGAGGAAGCCACGGCUAACUCUGUGCCAGCAGCCGCGGUAAUACAGAGGUGGCGAGCGUUGUUCGGAUUUACUGGGCGUAAAGGGAGCGUAGGCGGCAAUGUGUGUCGGGUGUGAAAUCCCACGGCUCAACCGUGGAACGUCAUCCGAAACUACCUUGCUAGAGUGCAGGAGGGGAGAGCGGAAUUCUUGGUGUAGCGGUGAAAUGCGUUGAUAUCAAGAGGAACACCGGUGGCGAAGGCGGCUCUCUGGAAUGUAACUGACGCUGAGGCUCGAGAGCGUGGGGAGCAAACAGGAUUAGAUACCCUGGUAGUCCACGCUGUAAACGGUGUGCAUUUGGUGUUGGAGGAAUUGACCCCUUCAGUGCCGGAGCUAACGCGUUAAAUGCACCGCCUGGGAAGUACGGUCGCAAGAUUAAAACUCAAAGAAAUUGACGGGGGCCCGCACAAGCGGAGGAGCAUGUGGCUUAAUUCGAUGCAACGCGAAGAACCUUACCAGGGCUUGACAUGCAGCUGCACGUCCCGUGAAAGCGGGAUUCCUUCGAGGGUGCUGCACAGGUGCUGCAUGGCUGUCGUCAGUUCGUGCCGUGAGGUGUUUGGUUAAGUCCAGCAACGAACGCAACCCCUAUGUCUAGUUGCCACUCCCGAUGUUAAGUCGGGAAGCACUCUAAACAGACUGCCUGUAUAAGCAGGAGGAAGGUGGGGACGACGUCAAGUCAGUAUGGCCCUUACGCCCUGGGCUGCACACGUGCUACAAUGGCCGGUACAGAAGGAUGCGAAACCGCGAGGUGGAGCCAAUCCCCAAAACCGGCCCCAGUUCAGAUUGCAGUCUGCAACUCGACUGCAUGAAGUUGGAUUCGCUAGUAACGGCGCAUCAGCUACGGCGCCGUGAAUACGUUCCCGGGCCUUGUACACACCGCCCGUCACAUCAUGAAAGCCGUCUGCACCCGCAGUCGCUGAACCAACCCGCAAGGGGGGGAGGUGCCGAAGGUGUGGGUGGUGAUUGGGAUGAAGUCGCAACAAGGUA